GGUAAUGCCUCUGAUACCAGCAGACAUACACUGGAGCUGGAGGUAAACGAUCUGCUUGGCCACAGAGAUAAGGGUGAACCGGAAGAAAUCUCUGAAUCUUGAAUAAAAAAUAAACAUUAGGCAACUGAAAUUUAGCACAUGAAGAUAAAAUAUGCAUAACGAAUUACAAAAUGCAAGGCUUCCAUAAACCAACAUUGGCCCACCAAGAACUUGCUAAUAACAGAGAAGCAAAGUCAGCUUGCUCAGUAAAAAGUGUUUUGAGCUGAGGAGAUUACACAAAUCUAGAAGCAUGUUCUAGAAGCAUAUACCCUUCAACCUGCAUCAUAGCACUGGCUUUAAAGGUAACUUCAUGUUUGCAGUUACCAUUAUAUGCAGCUGCAGUCUACAGAGUCAUGCUUGCCUCUCUUCCUGCAUGUAGAAUUCACAAAUCCUGUGACAGCUGCCUGUAGAUUAAUAUAAAUGUCAGCUUUGAAGUUUGUGCUGUAAGAGGGAGACAGGAAGAAAACUGACACUGUUGUAUUUUCCAUCAGCUAUUAUACUUCAAUGAUUUCAGACUGUAUGGACUCAUAAAUAUUACAUUCUACAUACACAGCAAGAGUAAAUCUGAGGACAAAAGUCAUGACAACAUGUCUUCCCAGUUCAUAGCCAUUGAACUGUAUGUGUGGCAGGCUGUACAUAUGUACAUGUAGAAAACAUCUGUCAUGUUAAUAACUUUUACUUUCAGUAUUUUAAGCAAAGAGUUUUUGCGGUAUUUUUGCAGUAUUAAUAUAUACUGGUUGACACAUUCCGUUUUGGUAUUUUUAUUAAGAAGAUUUUGCUGACCUACAGCCUGGCUGGUGCUCUACAGGAGUCCUGCUUUAAGCAGGACUCACUUUUAAUAAAAAAGAAGUUGUACCAGAGUCUGCCGUAGGUUACAGUUUGUGAGUGCAGAUACUAGUAACCCCUAAAUAUACAGCAUCACACUAAUGGGACUUGUUUACCUGGAAAUGGAUGUACUACAUUUUAAGAUGGCACUGUCCCAUGUGCUAACACUGUGCUGUGCCCACAAAAAGGUAGCAGUUAUGUAAUGUUUUAUCUGUACCCACAUCUGACUACAUCCUGGGAUGGAACCGCAGAAGCUAUCUUCCUGUGACCACCCCAACAAAACCAGGCAAAGUCAGCUUUGGUUAUUGGCAGAUACAGCCAUCCUUAAAAAGGCAGCCAUUAAGAUCUAAAAUACUGAAAUGGUGCUCCUGCAACCAACCUGUGGUCUAGAACAGCUCUGUAUUAGAUUUUAUGACAUUUAGCACAUAUUUCUGAAUGUGUCAGUUAUGAACAAAUGGAACACAAGAUUUCAGAUUUAACAAGUUUUUUCCUGUUUUCAUUAUUUAAAAUGUACCAUAAUGCAACACAGUGUUCGUCACAUUUCUGUUUUGUCUCCCAUGUAAUCCUUCUUUUUCUUAUUAAAUGCCAAUAUUUACAG